rnacentral:rRNA from 1 species
GACGUAGGGCGCGAGCGUUGUCCGGAAUUAUUGGGCGUAAAGAGCUCGUAGGCGGUCUGUCGCGUCUGCUGUGAAAACUCAGGGCUUAACCCUGAGCUUGCAGUGGGUACGGGCAGACUAGAGUGCGGUAGGGGAGACUGGAAUUCCUGGUGUAGCGGUGAAAUGCGCAGAUAUCAAGGGAAGAACACCAACGGGCGAAGGCAGCUCGCUGGGACGG